ensembl:snRNA U6 U6 spliceosomal RNA
GUGCUUGCUUCAGCGGCUCAUGUACUGAAAUUGGAACAGUGCAGAGAUUAGCCUGUCCCCUACACAAGGAGGAUGGACAGAUUUGUGAAGCGUUCCAUAUGUUU